rnacentral:rRNA from 1 species
GAUGAACGCUGGCGGCGUGCCUAAUACAUGCAAGUCGAGCGAACGGACGAGAAGCUUGCUUCUCUGAUGUUAGCGGCGGACGGGUGAGUAACACGUGGAUAACCUACCUAUAAGACUGGGAUAACUUCGGGAAACCGGAGCUAAUACCGGAUGAUAUUUUGAACCGCAUGGUUCAAAAGUGAAAGACGGUCUUGCUGUCACUUAUAGAUGGAUCCGCGCUGCAUUAGCUAGUUGGUAAGGUAACGGCUUACCAAGGCAACGAUGCAUAGCCGAUCUGAGAGGGUGAUCGGCCACACUGGAACUGAGACACGGUCCAGACUCCUACGGGAGGCAGCAGUAGGGAAUCUUCCGCAAUGGGCGAAAGCCUGACGGAGCAACGCCGCGUGCGGGAUGAAGGUCUUCGGAUCGUAAAACUCUGUUAUUAGGGAAGAACAUAUUUGUAAGUAACUGUGCACAUCUUGACGGUACCUAAUCAGAAAGCCACGGCUAACUACGUG